rnacentral:tRNA from 1 species
UCUUAAUAUAGCAAAAUUAUGCAAAGGAUUUAGAUUCCUUCAAUGGGUACACCUUUUAUGC